GUAUAUCUCUGCGGUCACAUUCUCU
rnacentral:piRNA from 1 species